AGCAGGUGAAACAAAUAGGUCAGGAACAUGCAGAAAUAAGUUAUUGCUGUAGUCAAGGCAAGGCAAGAGGAUGGGUGGCGAUUAAGUACAGGAGGGAAGUGGGGAACUUUUAGAGAUAUUUAGGAGGUAACUUUGGCAGGCUAAGAGAUGUAUCAUUCUAGGAGAGAGGGAGAAAAGAGACUCUAGAAGGCUCCAGAGUUUUGGCUUAGGAAAAUCAGGUGUGCUGUCGCUAGAGGACUUCCAUUAAAAGGAAGCCAGCGAUUCCAGCCUGCUUCCAGCUCUGGGUUGGAACAAGGCUUCCUUUGAUAUCUCCUUAUGUCUCUGCCACACGCAGGAACGGCAGCCAAUGCACCUGCUCCAAGUGGACAUAGCGGUUAAGGCUGAGCACGGUGCCGAUCACUGGAAGGGGCAUCUGAAAGUCAAUUGCCUUUGUAAGCUUGCCCUACCCUUGGUGUGUAUUCUCUUUUCCAGAAAUUUCUCUAGAAGCCUGUGUCUUUCCGUUUAUCUAUAACGAUGUCGUCUACUACAAUUGCAUCUCAGUCCACAGUGACUUUGACUGGUGUUCUCUUGACAAAAUAUUCCAAGGCAGGUGGCGCUACUGCAGGGCAAGCGAUCCCCCCCAGUGUGUCUUUCCCUUCUCAUUCAGAGACAAACUCAUUGACCAUUGCACCAAGGAAGGCUUUAUUUUGAAUCGGAGUUGGUGUUCAUUGACCAAAGAUUACAACAAAGACAAGAAAUGGAAGACGUGCUCUCCUCUCAAUUCUUAGAUAAGUCUUGGUGUUCCCGAAGAGACGGAAGUUACAGAUCCAUCGUCUGCCUGUCAGAACAGAAUUCUAUCCUUUCCCAUCCUGAACAUUGUGAUCAAUAAAGACUUGGUCUCCUUGCCGUGUGGACGGCUCCUUCCCUUGAAAGGAAGGCACAGCCAGCGCUCAGUGGGGACCAGCACAGCGCUGACCAUGUAGGAACCCAGCAGUGGCCCGACCCGCGGGACCUUUUGUUACUCGCGGGGGUCAAGGGGGACCAUGCCUGAAAGAGAUGGGCGAGAGAA